rnacentral:rRNA from 1 species
AAGGGCAUCACAGAGGGUGAUAAUCCCGUACAUGGCAUGGCACCGCCCGAAGCUUUGUGAUACGCUUUCUACGAGUCGAGUUGUUUGGGAAUGCAGCUCAAAAUGGGUGGUAAAUGCCAUCUAAGGCUAAAUAUUGGGGAGAGACCGAUAGCGAACAAGUACAGUGAUGGAAAGAUGAAAAGAACUUUGAAAAGAGAGUUAAACAGUACGUGAAAUUGCCAAAAGGGAAGGGUAGGAGGUCAGAGAUGCGUCUUGGGAUUCAGCCUUGCUUUUGCAUGGUGUUUUUCCCAAGUUGCAGGCCAACGUCGGUUUUGGGCACUGGAGAAGGGUAGGAGGAACGUGGCACCUCUCGGGGUGUGUUAUAGCCUCCUACUGGAUACAGCGACCGAGACCGAGGAACGCAGCGUACUCGUAAGAGCGGGCCUUUUGGCACCUUUACGCUUAGGGCGUUGGCAUAAUGGCCCUCUACCACCCGUCUUG